GCUAACUUCGUGCCAGCAGCCGCGGUAAUACGAAGGGGGCUAGCGUUGCUCGGAAUUACUGGGCGUAAAGGGCGCGUAGGCGGACAGUUUAGUCAGAGGUGAAAGCCCAGGGCUCAACCUUGGAAUAGCCUUUGAUACUGACUGUCUUGAGUACGGGAGAGGUGUGUGGAACUCCGAGUGUAGAGGUGAAAUUCGUAGAUAUUCGGAAGAACACCAGUGGCGAAGGCGACACACUGGCCCGUUACUGACGCUGAGGCGCGAAAGCGUGGGGAGCAAACAGGAUUAGAUACCCCUGUAGUC
rnacentral:rRNA from 1 species